UACGGGGGGGGCAAGCGUUGUUCGGAAUUACUGGGCGUAAAGGGCUCGUAGGUGGCCAACUAAGUCAGACGUGAAAUCCCUCGGCUUAACCGGGGAACUGCGUCUGAUACUGGAUGGCUAGAGAUUGGGAGAGGGAUGCGGAAUUCCAGGUGUAGCGGUGAAAUGCGCAGAUAUCAGGAGGAACACCAAUGGCGAAGGCAGCUCGCUGGGACGUGACUGACGCUGAGACGCGAAAGCGUGGGGAGCAAACAGG
rnacentral:rRNA from 1 species